AUGGCCGCGGCGGCGGCGGAGGAGGCGGCGCCGGCCGCCGACGCCAUCAGGGACGGCUUCGCGGAGCUGGAGCGGCAGCAGGAGCUGCUGGCCAGCUGCACGCGCCUCUACCAGCAGCUCACCGAGCACUUCGGCUCCCUCGAGCGCGGCAUCAAGUCCCGCUCCGACUCGCUCCGCGCCCGGCGCCGCGUCGUCGAGCUCCGAGCCUCCCGCCGCCUCGACGCGCUCCGCCGCCGCGAGCUCUCCAUCGACGCCUCCGUCAAGCUCGCGCUCUCCCGCCUCGACGCCCUCGCCAAAUCCCCCGCGCCGAAGCGGGACCGGGAGGACGGAGACGCGCCACCGUCCCCGCCGCAGCCGUCGUCGGACGACGUCGCCGAGGGCCUCGCCGCGCUCUGCGCCGCCAUGGACCCCGCGGGCUUCCUCGCCUUCGUCGUCGAGCGCCGCAAGGAGGUGGACGCGCUCCGCGCCGAGCUGCCCGCCGCGCUCCAGCGCUGCGUCGACCCGGCCAGGUUCGCCAUGGACGCCGUCUCCGAGGUCUUCCCCGUGGACCGCCGCGCCGUCCGCUCCCCCACCGACCUGGCCUGGGCCUGCGUGCUCAUACUGGAGGCCGUCGUGCCCGCGCUGGCCGACCCGGACCCGGAGAUCGGGGCGGCGCGGCCCAUGGUGCCGCAGGCGGCCCGCGACAGGGCCCGCGGCAUGGCCGACGAGUGGAAGGAGGCCGCCGAGCGCAAGGGCGGGGUGGAGGGCGCCAAGCCGCCCGACGCCCACGCCUUCCUGCAGCACGUCGCCACCUUCGCCGUGGCGGAGAAGGAGGACAAGGAGCUGUACAAGAGGAUUGUCCUCAGCUUCUCCUGGCGCAGGCAGAUGCCACGCCUCGCUCUCACGCUUGGCCUCGAGGAUGACAUGGAAGAAAUCAUUGAAGAGCUUAUCACAAAGGGGCAACAACUUGAUGCCGUGAACUUUGCAUAUGAGGCUGGUCUUCUGGAAAAAUUCUCCCCAGUCCCUCUUUUGAAAUCCUACCUGGAGGAUUCUAAGAAGAUAUAUUGCAUUUCAGAUAACGUGAGCACUAGCAGUGGCCAAUCUGGGGUCAAUGCAAAUAAGAAGGAGCAGUCUGUGCUUCGGGCUGUUAUAAAGUGUGUUGAGGACCACAAACUCGAAGCCGAGUUUCCAUUGGAGGAUCUGCGGAAACGGCUGGAAGAAUUGGAGAUGGCCAAGACCGAGAAGAAAAAGGCAGCCUCAAGCUGUUCCAGUGGCGGCCCAGCAAGCAAGCGCAUCAAAGGGAGCGCUGGGGGAGCAAUGUCCCCUUCCAAGGCUGGUCGUCCAAGCGACAACACCGGUGCACCAUCUUCGCCCGCCACCGCCACCAGCAGCAGCAGCACCACCGCAUUCAUCGGCUCUCCAGCCUCCCAUGUCUCCUACGGUACCGGAUCUCCCUACUCUUAUGAUAGGUCAGCUGGGCACGCCCUCUACUGUGGCCAGAGCCCACUUCCAAUGAGGGAGCCAUAUGCAUACCCACCUGCUGUGCCGGUGCCCAAUGUUGGCCUUGGAAUGCCAUACCAAGCCCCUCCCAUGACCUACCCCAUCUACGCCGGAUACAACAGCGGCCUGGGAGCCUAUGGCAAUGCCAUGCCCCCAGCCCCAGCCUUUCACCAGGCUUACUACCGGUAG
rnacentral:rRNA from 1 species